rnacentral:sRNA from 1 species
CAAUUUCUCUCUACAGAGAUCGAAGAUAUGGAAGGCAAGGAAGAAGACGUUAGAGUUGGAGCUAACAAGUUCCCGGAGAGACAACCAAUCGGAACAUCAGCUCAGAGUGACAAGGACUACAAGGAACCACCACCAGCUCCG